AUUGAGCGCUGGCGGCAUGCUUUGCACAUGCAAGUCGAACGGUAACAGGGAGCUUGCUCCGCUGACGAGUGGCGAACGGGUGAGUAAUGCGUCGGAACGUGCCGAGUAGUGGGGGAUAACGCAUCGAAAGGUGUGCUAAUACCGCAUACGAACUGAGGUUGAAAGUGGGGGACCUUCGGGCCUCACGCUAUUCGAGCGGCCGACGUCUGAUUAGCUAGUUGGUGAGGUAAAGGCUCACCAAGGCGACGAUCAGUAGCGGGUCUGAGAGGAUGAUCCGCCACACUGGGACUGAGACACGGCCCAGACUCCUACGGGAGGCAGCAGUGGGGAAUUUUGGACAAUGGGCGCAAGCCUGAUCCAGCCAUGCCGCGUGUCUGAAGAAGGCCUUCGGGUUGUAAAGGACUUUUGUCCGGGAGCAAAUGCUGGUGGCUAACAUCCACCGGAGCUGAGAGUACCGGAAGAAUAAGCACCGGCUAACUACGUGCCAGCAGCCGCGGUAAAAC
rnacentral:rRNA from 1 species